rnacentral:rRNA from 1 species
CUCAAAUCAGGUGGGACUACCCGCUGAACUUAAGCAUAUCAAUAAGCGGAGGAAAAGAAACUAACAAGGAUUCCCCUAGUAACUGCGAGUGAAACGGGAAGAGCUCAAAUUUAAAAUCUGGCAGUUUUUGAAGCUGUCCGAGUUGUAAUUUA